CUGAGGUCAGAUACAGUCUCCAUACUGCUGAGGUCAGAGAUGAGGUCACCAUACUGCUGAGGUCAGAUAAGAUCGCCAUACUGCUGAGGUCAGAGAUGAGGUCUCCAUACUGCUGAGGUCAGAUACAGUCUCCAUACUGCUGAGGUCAGAUAAGAUCGCCAUACUGCUAAGGUCAGAUAAGAUCGCCACACUGCUGAGGUCAGAAAUGGCUGCCAUACUGCUGAGGUCAGAUACAGUCUCCAUACUGCUGAGGUCAGAUAAGAUCGCCACACUGCUGAGGUCAGAUAAGAUCGCCAUACUGCUGAGGUCAGAAAUGGCUGCCAUACUGCUGAGGUCAGAUACGGUC